UACGAAGGGGGCUAGCGUUGCUCGGAAUCACUGGGCGUAAAGGGUGCGUAGGCGGGUCUUUAAGUCAGGGGUGAAAUCCUGGAGCUCAACUCCAGAACUGCCUUUGAUACUGAGGAUCUUGAGUACGGGAGAGGUGAGUGGAAACUGCGAGUGUAGAGGUGAAAUUCGUAGAUAUUCGCAAAGAACACCAGUGGCGAAGGCGCUCACUGGCCCGUUACUGACGCUGAGGCACGGAAAAGCGAUGGGG
rnacentral:rRNA from 1 species